rnacentral:rRNA from 1 species
UACGAGGGGGGCAAGCGUUGUUCGGAAUUAUUGGGCGUAAAGGGUGCGUAGGCGGUUUUGUAAGUCUUGUGUGAAAUCUUCAGGCUCAACUUGAAUACUGCACGAGAAACUGCAGGGCUUGAGUGUGGGAGAGGUGAGUGGAAUUCCUGGUGUAGCGGUGAAAUGCGUAGAUAUCAGGAGGAACACCGGUGGCGAAGGCGGGUCUCUGGGCAAUAACUGACGCUGAGGAGCGAAAGCGUGGGGAGCGAACAGG